GUGGGGAAUCUUAGACAAUGGGCGCAAGCCUGAUCUAGCCAUGCCGCGUGAGCGAUGAAGGCCUUAGGGUUGUAAAGCUCUUUCAGCUGGGAAGAUAAUGACGGUACCAGCAGAAGAAGCCCCGGCUAACUUCGUGCCAGCAGCCGCGGUAAUACGAAGGGGGCUAGCGUUGUUCGGAAUUACUGGGCGUAAAGCGCACGUAGGCGGGUAUUUAAGUCAGGGGUGAAAUCCCGGAGCUCAACUCCGGAACUGCCUUUGAUACUGGGUACCUAGAGUAUGGAAGAGGUAAGUGGAAUUCCGAGUGUAGAGGUGAAAUUCGUAGAUAUUCGGAGGAACACCAGUGGCGAAGGCGGCUUACUGGUCCAUUACUGACGCUGAGGUGCGAAAGCGUGGGGAGCAAACAGGAUUAGAUACCCGUGUAGUCC
rnacentral:rRNA from 1 species